GACGAACGCUGGCGGCGUGCCUAAUACAUGCAAGUUGAGCGCUGAAGGUUGGUACUUGUACCAACUGGAUGAGCAGCGAACGGGUGAGUAACGCGUGGGGAAUCUGCCUUUGAGCGGGGGACAACAUUUGGAAACGAAUGCUAAUACCGCAUAAAAACUUUAAACACAAGUUUUAAGUUUGAAAGAUGCAAUUGCAUCACUCAAAGAUGAUCCCGCGUUGUAUUAGCUAGUUGGUAAGGUAAAGGCUCACCAAGGCGAUGAUACAUAGCCGACCUGAGAGGGUGAUCGGCCACAUUGGGACUGAGACACGGCCCAAUCCCCUACGGGAGGCAGCAGUAGGGAAUCUUCGGCAAUGGACGAAAGUCUGAGCGAGCAACGCCGAGUGAGUGAAGAAGGGUGUCGGAUCGUAAAGCUCUGUUGGUAGAGAAGAACGUUGGUGAGAGUGGAAAGCUCAUCAAGUGACGGUAACUACUCAGAAAGGGACGGCUAACUACGUG
rnacentral:rRNA from 1 species